CAGCGACGCCCAGCGGUCCGCCUUCAAGCCCUGAGCCGCCCUCCCCCUCCGCCUCCCCGGCCUGUGCUAGUUUCGUUUCCCCGCUCCGUCGCUCGGGAGGCCGGGAAAGGGGUGAGAACCCAACUAAGAGUGGAAAGUGAGACUCAGUUGAGAGUGGAAAAAUUCAGCACAUGCGUGGGAAGAUCAGGGUGCUCCAGUUUUUCUCCUGACCCGCUCCUGCUCACCCAGCAAGGCGUCAAUACUCCAGUUGCAUGGUGAGAAAAAGGUGCUUGUUACAUCUAGAAACUCGUCACACCUUGGAUAAUAGCCAUGCUGAAACCUCCACAACCGCAUCCUCAAAGGCAGACAGGGAGAGCAAGGAGAACAGGGCUGUCUCUGCAAGAGGUGAGCCCACAGCAGGCGGAGGAGCAGUGGAUGGAGGAAACAUCCUGGCUGAAACCAUCCCAACCCGAAAGGCCAGGGGACUUUGCAGAUGCCAAGAAAAGAAUGUUCCCUGCAUAAAGCCCAGCACUUGGCGGGACUCCCAAGAGCACCACAGGAAGAAAGGGAGGUUUGCAUCUUACUUCCAAGUACCCCACAGCCAUACACUGUGGGCUGAAACCUUGCAGAGCUUGGUACCAGCUUUGGGCUUUGGAUAUUUUGUUGGGUGGGACUAUGGACAACCUGGUCUAGUGACUGGCAACCCUGCCUAUGGCGCAGGGGCUUGGAACUGCAUGACUUUUAAAGUCCCUUACAACCCAAAUUAUUCUAUGGUUCUGUGGUUCCAUGAUUCUAUGAGUCUAUGCUAGAGCAAGAACAAGCUCCCCAGGAGCUGAUAUGAGACAAACAAGAAAACCCUAUGCCAACAAACAGAGGCACAUCCCCUGCUGCCGACAGCGUGGGAGUAAGCAGACGCUGGAGGCUCGCCAGGGCUGCUCACACAGUCUGGUUGGUUUCCAGCAGAGCCCUUGCAUCCCUUGCAUGGCUGCUGGUUUCUGUUCCCUUGAAAAUUGCUCUGGCAUUCUCUAGCCACUCCAGUGCCGUACAGAGGCAUCAGCUCCCUCUCGUGGGCUUAGAUCAGCUCUCAUUGUUGGAAUACAUCCAGGAUUUCCCAGGAAAGUUAUUACCUUUUUUUUUUUCUUUUUUCUUUUUUUCUUUCUUUCUUUCUUUUUUUUUUUUUUUGACACCUGUCACUCUGAAUAUUCACUAAUGCAAAAUUGAAGUUUUGUGGGAAUGUGUUGACUUCUGUCAAGUUUCCUUUCAGUAAGUAUAAGGAGUCUCAUUUCUUCCCAUAUUUCUGCUGUCAUUAUUUUUAUUUUGUCAGUGAUUCAAAGCAACUAAUUUGGGGAAUCACCCCCAAAGUGUCCAGUUUUCUACUAACUCAACGUUGAUGCAUUCAGAGUUGAGAUACGCCAAUGAAGGCCAUGGUGUAGCUUCCCAAAGGUUAUUUCACUUUCUACUGGUUGAGAGGUGGUGGAUUCACUGUUCCUGUACAUGUUCAGGAAAUGUGAAGAUGUGGCACUGAGGAACAUGGGUUAGUGAUUUCGGUAAUUGAUUGGCAGUGGGACUAGGUGGUCUUGAAGGUGUUUUCUUAAUGAUUCUAUGGUUCUGUUUUCUGUGAAGUCAAAAGUGAAGAAACAAAAUGAAAAUAAAAAUUAAAA